GUGCCUUGUCCCAGACUUCUCUGUGACUCCUACGGGAGGCAGCAGUGGGGAAUAUUGCACAAUGGGGGAAACCCUGAUGCAGCCAUGCCGCGUGUGUGAAGAAGGCCUUCGGGUUGUAAAGCACUUUCAGUAGGGAGGAAGGUAGUGUAGUUAACACCUGCAUUAUUUGACGUUACCUACAGAAGAAGCACCGGCUAACUCCGUGCCAGCAGCCGCGGUAAUACGGAGGGUGCGAGCGUUAAUCGGAAUUACUGGGCGUAAAGCGCAUGCAGGCGGCCUGUUAAGUCAGAUGUGAAAGCCCGGGGCUUAACCUCGGAAUUGCAUUUUGAAACUGGCAGGCUAGAGUCUUGUAGAGGGGGUAGAAGUUUCAGGUGUAGCGGUGAAAUGCGUAGAGAUCUGAAGGAAUACCAGUGGCGAAGGCGGCCCCCUGGACAAAGACUGACGCUCAGAUGCGAAAGCGUGGGGAGCAAACAGGAUUAGAUACCCUGGUAG
rnacentral:rRNA from 1 species